rnacentral:rRNA from 1 species
UACGUAGGAUGCAAGCGUUGUCCGGAAUUACUGGGCGUAAAGAGCUCGUAGGUGGUUUGUCGCGUUGUUCGUGAAAACUCACAGCUUAACUGUGGGCGUGCGGGCGAUACGGGCAGACUGGAGUACUGCAGGGGAGACUGGAAUUCCUGGUGGUAGGCGGUGGAAUGCGCAGAUAUCAGGAGGAACACCGGUGGCGAAGGC